rnacentral:rRNA from 1 species
CUUACACAUGCAGUCGAACGAAGUCUUCGGACUUAGUGGCGCACGGGUGCGUAACGCGUGGGAAUCUGCCCUUAGGUACGGAAUAACUCAGAGAAAUUUGAGCUAAUACCGUAUGAUGUCUUCGGACCAAAGAUUUAUCGCCUAAGGAUGAGCCCGCGUUGGAUUAGCUAGUUGGUGGGGUAAAGGCCUACCAAGGCGACGAUCCAUAGCUGGUCUGAGAGGAUGAUCAGCCACACUGGGACUGAGACACGGCCCAGACUCCUACGGGAGGCAGCAGUGGGGAAUAUUGGACAAUGGGGGAAACCCUGAUCCAGCAAUGCCGCGUGAGUGAUGAAGGCCUUAGGGUUGUAAAGCUCUUUUACCCGGGAUGAUAAUGACAGUACCGGGAGAAUAAGCUCCGGCUAACUCCGUGCCAGCAGCCGCGGUAAUACGGAGGGAGCUAGCGUUGUUCGGAAUUACUGGGCGUAAAGCGCGCGUAGGCGGUUUUGCAAGUUAGAGGUGAAAGCCCGGGGCUCAACCCCGGAACUGCCUUUAAAACUGCAUCACUUGAAUCCAGGAGAGGUGAGUGGAAUUCCGAGUGUAGAGGUGAAAUUCGUAGAUAUUCGGAAGAACACCAGUGGCGAAGGCGGCUCACUGGACUGGUAUUGACGCUGAGGUGCGAAAGUGUGGGGAGCAAACAGGAUUAGAUACCCUGGUAGUCCACACCGUAAACGAUGAUAACUAGCUGUCCGGGUGCAUGGCA